rnacentral:rRNA from 1 species
UGCGUGAAGUUGGAAUCGCUAGUAAUCGCGGAUCAGCAUGCCGCGGUGAAUACGUUCCCGGGCCUUGUACACACCGCCCGUCACACCAUGGAAGUUGGGGGUGCCCAAAGCCGGCAAGCAAAUAUGCUGUCUAAGGCAAAACCAAUGACUGGGGUGAAGUCGUAACAAGGUAUC